ensembl:lncRNA
GGGCUACACAAUUUGGCAUAUUAAAUAAAUAAAUAAUUUCAAAUAUAAUCAUUUUCAAAAACCAUCAAGCUUUUAUUUUGUCAGAAAACCACAGAGAUACUUUAAAGCUUUAAAGCUUCUCUUUGGUUUAUUAACAACCAGCUUUUCAGUACAAGUUUGGGAAGAUGGUUGGCGCAUAUUGCAUUCCCAAAUACACAUUAUAAGUGACCCGAAUUCACAGCUCUUGCAAAGAUGAAGUACAUGUGGAGUGUGUGAACUGAGCCACUCUGAGAGACUAAAAACACGUGAGCUGUGAAAGAACACAGUGCCACGUUUCACUCUGAAACACAUUUAUUUAUUUAAUUAAAAUUAUUUAUUUUCAUAAUUACGCUAAGCCAUUUAGUGGUUUUGGUUUUAUUACGAUCAGUCGUGCAGCCAUAUAGUUUAAGUUUGUUUGCAUUUCUUUCUCCUGCAGAACAAUAAGAGAAGAUAUUUUGAAGAAAGUUAAGAAACAGCACAGGAGUCCAUGCACUGACUCACAUGAAACAUUUUUCAAACUAUCUUCUUUUAAGCUUCACAGAAGAAAGAAUCUCAUACAGUUCUAAAACGACAUGAGGGUGACAGAACACAGUUGUCAUAUUUGGGUGGAGUAUGGCUUUAAAAUGGAGUCAAAAUCAUAUUAUCCUUUGAACUUUUUAACACUUGUUCAACACAUGAGAAAUGUUACAGCAAAAGCAUCUCGCUGAUACAGCUACACCUAAACCAGCAACAACUAAUACUGAGAGGGAAAAUACAAGCACGCAACCAACACAAAUACUCACUACAGGGCCAGAACAAGGGCUUUCUUCCUUCACUUCAAGCAAAAUAUCUUAUGAGUAUCACUUCAUAAAUAUCAGAAAGAACUGGACUGGGGCUCAGAGAUUCUGCCGUGAGAGGUACGUUAUUGGCAUGUACACACCUGAUGACUGUGGAAAAUGCAAAAGAGAUUAA